GAUGAACGCUGGCGGCGUGCCUAAUACAUGCAAGUCGAGCGAACAGACGAGGAGCUUGCUCCUCUGACGUUAGCGGCGGACGGGUGAGUAACACGUGGAUAACCUACCUAUAAGACUGGGAUAACUUCGGGAAACCGGAGCUAAUACCGGAUAAUAUAUUGAACCGCAUGGUUCAAUAGUGAAAGACGGUUUUGCUGUCACUUAUAGAUGGAUCCGCGCCGCAUUAGCUAGUUGGUAAGGUAACGGCUUACCAAGGCAACGAUGCGUAGCCGACCUGAGAGGGUGAUCGGCCACACUGGAACUGAGCCACGGUCCAGACUCCUACGGGAGGCAGCAGUAGGGAAUCUUCCGCAAUGGGCGAAAGCCUAACGGAGCAACGCCGCGUGAGUGAUGAAGGUCUUCGGAUCGUAAAACUCUGUUAUUAGGGAAGAACAAAUGUGUAAGUAACUAUGCACGUCUUGACGGUACCUAAUCAGAAAGCCACGGCUAACUACGUG
rnacentral:rRNA from 1 species